rnacentral:rRNA from 1 species
GUGCCAGCCGCCGCGGUAAGACAGAGGGUGCAAACGUUGUUCGGAAUUACUGGGCGUAAAGCGAGUGUAGGCGGUUUCCUAAGUCAGGUGUGAAAGCCCCGGGCUCAACCCGGGAAGUGCACUUGAAACUGGGAGGCUAGAGUAUCGGAGAGGUUGGUGGAAUUCUCGGUGUAGAGGUGAAAUUCGUAGAUAUCGAGAGGAACACCGGUGGCGAAGGCGGCCAACUGGACGAAUACUGACGCUGAGACUCGAAAGCGUGGGGAGCAAACAGGAUUAGAUACCCUGGUAGUCC